CAAAUUUCUCCACAGAAGCAGAGUCAAAAAGGAAGAGAGAGCAAAACAUAGAAGAUAUUUUUUAAAAUGAGAAUCUGGGUAAAAAGGCCAGCUAACCACAUUCCUGAUGGCAGCUGCUGAACAGCAAAGACCAGCAUUUGGAGACUACAAUAUAACGGGACACCACCAGGGAAUGCUGCAGGCCCUUCAUCCCUAGUUUAGGGAGAGUGGCAUUUAUCCUUCAACAUACACCUUUUUGGCGAUAAAUGUGAGAUGCAUUAAAGAACCUCAGCAACAAGAAUAAGUUGUCUCCCUGCUGUUUUUUAAACUUAGAAAUGAAGGCUUCAUCAAUUUAAUGGGGGCUAUGGAGAUUUUGUAGAGACUGUGUUCUUUUACAGACUAUCAUUUAUCUGGGGCCAAUGUGUAUCAAAAGGUCUCUGAUGAUAUUUAUUGUAUUGCUGCAUUGACUAGAUGGUUUGUUCUAUUGAAUGGGUUUCUCACAGUUAUUGGGGUACGGAUGUCUCUGACUGGGCCAGCAUUCAUUGUGCAUCCCUAAACGCUACAAAAAAUAGUGCUGAGCUGCCUUCUUAAACAGUGA